CACGUAGGGCGCAAGCGUUGUCCGGAAUUAUUGGGCGUAAAGAGCUCGUAGGCGGACUGUCACGUCCGCUGUGAAAAGCUAGGGCUUAACCCUGGCCUUGCAGUGGAUACGGGCAGACUAGAGGUAGGUAGGGGAGAAUGGAAUUCCCGGUGUAGCGGUGAAAUGCGCAGAUAUCGGGAGGAACACCAGUGGCGAAGGCGGCGACCUGGACGGACAUUGACGCUGAGACGCGAAAGCGUGGGGAGCAAACGGG
rnacentral:rRNA from 1 species